AAAUAUAAUCAUAAUGUGAUCAAUAUAUAAUAUUAUAUAGUUCAAUAUUAUUACAAGCUUCCCAGUGAGAUAUCGAUGAAUCCGGGGAGCAUCAAGUGAGAUCUAUUACAGAUGAUUCCUGAGGAUGAACACAAUGAAGCAAGAGCGUGACACAAAAAUUGAAGCUCGACCGGAAAGAUGACUCGAUAUGUAAAUUGCCGCAUAAGAAGAAGUCUCCGAGGAACCGACCCACUUAAGAUCAUCAGCCGGAAACCUAGCUAACUCAGAAAUAAGUGCCAUUUCAGAUCCACACUCAUAAAAAGUAGCUAGUACGAGAUCUUGCAUGUAUCGUGAUCUAUUGGCGUUGACUUGUAUUAUUUUCAUUAUUAAUGUCAGUAGUACCUUCACCAAUAUUAUCCAUAGACAUAAAUGCUUCUGGAGUACAUGUAACGUUGGUUGAACUAUUUGAAGACUAGUUUCUCAAAGUGAUCAAAGGACCAGGAGAACGAGGAGGACAAUCUUCACUACCGGCUCGAUGAUCAUGCGGUCUGGCAGCCUUCCGACACAAAGGUCAAUCCGGACGUCUCUUACAUUCUUUAAGUUUAUGCGAUGGAUCACCACAAUUGAAACAAGAACUAGCACGGUCAAUUAAGCUAGUAUAACGGUGCCAGGUAUGUCCCCUGGCGAAACAUCUGAAGCAUUUGGCAGGCCUAGAUAAUAAUUCUACCUUCACCGAGUUCAUCUAAUCAAGGUUGAUUACCUCAAGGUUUGAUAUUUUUAUUGCUGCGACUAACAAACAUUGAAGCCAUAUGACCCCAAGACCAUUCCUAGCAAGUCGAAUGGGACCACAGCGAACAUCAUCAAAAGAACAUCUGGUAAGAUUCAUUAUUUUCUGGAUUAUUUCAACUUUGACAGAAUCAUCGAACCCGCUCAUUCUAAUAUCCGCCAUUUUAUUUGUUAAUAUUAACAUUUGAAUCAUUAAUUAUUUCUUUCAUUUUUCUAGCAAGAUCAUCAGCCUUAAAUCCCGAUUAGAAUCUUCGCCUCUAACUUCUAGGAUGAAUCCACCUAAUAAGAUUCUCAUAUCCUCAAUGUUAAAACCUUUCAACGGUAUUUCCUUCCUGGCUUUGCUGAGAAUCGACGCGUAUGUGGACCCUCCGCUAUGACAGUUACAGCUGUUAAAUUGGGUGAAAUUUGCGCUUACCACCCGAAGUACCAGAGAGAGGCACGUGAAAUUGUCUAAAAGGCAUUUUCGAUAAUAUUGCAUCAAAAUUUCUAGGCGCCACUUAACAUCAAAAACCGAAGUGUGUUCAACAAUAACAGCAGGAGAAUCCAAGAUCGGAGAGCUACUUCUCACAGGUAAUCGGAUAGGCUCUGCAUGAGAAUCUUUUAUGUCCAGCAGCGUCCUCCAUAGUGUGAGUAAAGUACUGAGCAAACUCAUUAAUAAUUUUAUUUUUAUCUUUUAGAACAACAACGGAUCCAAUGAAUCCGACACAACAGAAGGAGUCAAUAGAAGAAGGCCAACCAUUCUAUGAGAAGGAGAAAUCACCCGACAAGCCCCAUCAAUUCUGAGAGGGACAGCAAAAUCCAUAACCCCAUGCAUACGCUACACACUUCGAAUUGCAGAACUCGCAGCUUCAACUAGUAUAUUGCACUUAUGCCUACUAAUAUCUUCUCUAAGCUUCUUAAUAAUGUCCUUCAAUUCUUUAUUCUCUUCCCUAAUCCUGUUCAUUUCUUCUCGCAUUUCAGCCAUUUGCUUCCUAUAAUAUUCAUUAUUUCCAUCUCUAUUAGUCGAAGCUCUAAUCACAAGCUCUUCAACAUUACAUUUAAUAGACACAAAGUUCACCUAUAUCUUGCCACUAAUAAUAUCUUGCAGUGAUUCCGAACCUGUUCUUAGUGCAUCAGUCUCCGUAACCCAAUGACACGGACCGCAGCUGCUGUCGCCGAAAGAUCCUUCAAUUCAUUGACUCUAUCCGCGACUUCAUCUUUCUGAACCGGGGUGAGUCUAUUUCUAUCAGCAUCAGCAGGCAAAGAUUUCAUUUUUCUCUUUCUAGAUCGCUUUGUAAACAAAGGAGAAUGAUCAAACUUCCUAAUAUUCGAUAUCAAAUGCGUCGCGAUUCAAUUCCAUCUUCAUUAGAAUCGUCAAUGACGAUAGAACUGCCUGCAGCAGUAUCAAUAAUACCACAUGAGGUAGAUGCUUUGUCACGUUCAACAAACAAAGAAAAGUACGUUCUCCUAAUGAAGAUAUGUUUGUUUCAGAACUGUUGACAUUCCAAACUAAAACUGCCCAACGGAGGACUCUUUCGUUCGAAAUAAUUCUAGGAUGCACAUCCUCUGCAGUCAAGUCAAUAGCCACAUCAGUUGUUCCCCUACCAGUUGACGAGGCCCCAGCGGCAAGGACAGACCUACCAGGGUCAUGAUCCUCUCGGGAAGUACUCCCAAGAGGAUAUUCUCAAUUUCAUGCCCGUUGCUGGAGGACCGAGAUUAUAUUCUCAAUUUCAUGCCCGUUGCUGGACGACCGAGUCGGAACCAAGCUAAUCCCCCCCCCCUCUGCCAUUCCCCAGGUGUCCGAGUCCCUGAGGAUGAUAAAUCCUUCUUCUAUUCCAUAUCCAUUCCAUAUCCAUGAGUAAUUGGUUUUUUUUACAGAAAUUGCUGUCUACUGUCCCGCCAUACAACGCAGAUUGGGAAAUUCUAUGCAGUUCAUCAACCAAAAUAAUCCGUCUGGCAGAAAA